GGCAGUGUAUUGUGCUCCAAAAUCUCUGUCUCAGCUCAACUUUUCAGCAGUAAUAGUGCCAUCACAUCUGAUAUUUAGGAAAAUCAUGCAAUGUAAAUUUGGCAUUAGGCGACAAGCAAACCAGAUGUCAGACAUAAUAUAACAGGAUAUUUCUAUUGUCAGGAUGAUCAGAAAUUUAACUACAGUCUUCUAGACUCCUCUAAUGAAGAACACACACACACACACACACACAUACAUAAAGAUUGAUUAUCAACUUAUAGGAUGUCCUGCAAUCUAAUAGGCAUCUUGACAGAAUGGCACAAUAAACAUCUUUUUACUGGCAGCUAAUACAUAGAAAGUCUUUCUCAUUUAAUAUAGAAUAGAAGACAGCAGAAUUCACAUGUACUGACAGCUGUUUAAGUAACAUCAAACGUCCAGUUCCACAUGAGAGGUCUCCAUGACCUCUAGAAUAGACCUGAAGAUUUUAAAGAAGCAAAUAACUUGGCAUACAGAUAAAGCAAUAUCAUUCAUAUCACACAUAUGAUUCUAGUUUUACUCUAAAGAGGGAAGACAAGUCAUUAUAUAAUCUAUGCACCUGAACAAUUCUCCAUUGCAAAGGUAUUAAUAAUCAUAUCACAGAAAGGAUAUUUUCUAAUCCUGGUGUGGUCAUCAUCCAGAUACCCACUCCUUCGAUGAGCACAGACGACCCUUUAACCUUUAAUCAUAUCAUUAUCACUUAUUAUCAUGUUUUUCAUGCAUGAAAGGGCUUUAGCAAUCAACCUAUAAAGUGUUGAUUAUUGUGAAACUGCACAGAAAUAGAGAAGUAGUAUUGCAAAGAACAGCAAAUCGCGUGC
rnacentral:lncRNA from 1 species